UAGGGAAUAUUGGACAAUGGGCGAAAGCCUGAUCCAGCAACGCCGCGUGCGCGAUGAAGGCCUUCGGGUUGUAAAGCGCUUUUCGGGGGGAUGAGGAAGGACAGUACCCCCGGAAUAAGUCUCGGCUAACUACGUGCCAGCAGCCGCGGUAAAACGUAGGAGGCAAGCGUUAUCCGGAUUUACUGGGCGUAAAGCGCGUGCAGGCGGUCAAGUAAGUCGGACGUUAAAGCUCCCGGCUCAACUGGGAGAGGCCGUUCAAAACUACCAGACUUGAGGACGGUAGAGGGAUGUGGAAUUCCCGGUGUAGUAGUGAAAUGCGUAGAUAUCGGGAGGAACACCAGAGGCGAAGGCGGCAUCCUGGACCGUAACUGACACUAAGACGCGAAAGCUAGGGUAGCAAAUGGGAUUAGAAACCCCAGUAGUCCUAGCUGUAAACGAUGUAGACUAGGCGUUGGUGGGGUAAAAGCCAUCGGUGCCGAAGCAAACGCGAUAAGUCUACCGCCUGGGGACUACGGCCGCAAGGUUA
rnacentral:rRNA from 1 species